GACAGAGGGUGCAAACGUUGUUCGGAAUUACUGGGCGUAAAGCGAGUGUAGGCGGUGUGGUAAGUCGGAUGUGAAAGCCCCGGGCUCAACUGGGAGCUUGCAGGCGAAACUGCCGUGCUGGAGUGUGGGAGAGGUGCGUGGAAUUCCUGGUGUAGCGGUGAAAUGCGUAGAUAUCAGGAGGAACACCUGUGGCGAAAGCGGCGCACUGGACCACAACUGACGCUGAGAUACGAAAGCGUGGGGAGCAAACAGG
rnacentral:rRNA from 1 species